UGAUCUCAGUCCUGAUUAAAGUCACACACACCUCCAAACCGGCACGACCAACCACAGAAAGCUCAUGAGUCAGGAACUCUUUCAGCUCAGCCCUUUUGAUACCGUCUGCGACGAACUGUGGAGAGAGAACAGGUCUUCUCGACCUCAGCAAUCACCUGUCUGAUCCGACGACCCUUCUCUCCAAGCGUCGGUCAGGUUUACCUUAGCCGGCAUCCCUGACCCCAGCUGACAAUGGAGGAUUUUGGGUUGGGCUCUGAGUCCCCAACUGACAAGGAAGGAGGCUGGGACGACUUUCCUGAGCCCCUAGCUGACACAGGAGGUGAUAUGUCGGGCUCGCAUGAGCCCCCAGCUGUUGGGGAAUAUGUGAAGUGGAGGAUAUUUUUUUUUCCGUUGGCCAAAGCAAUCCAGGCAGGUGGCGCAAACAGACUCCCUCUCCUGCUUUCUUCCCAAGGAGUUAAUCCUGUGUCUGUGGAGGUGGAUGACACGAAUGCUAAAUUUUAAAAAAUUGUCAAAGGAAAUGCUGUUGGGUCCAUCAUGGUCAGGUGGUUCUGUCACAGCUGGGAAAUAGAAGACCUGCUCCCAAAGACUGUGGUAAAUUAUUUUAUUUAUGUUUAGAGAUUUCUGACCUUGUUUUAUAUAUUAUGCCGUUUUUAUGUGAGAAAUGAGUAAUGAAAAAUGACUUAAGUGCUUUUAUUCGACGGUUUCCCCAAAGAAUUUACAUUAGCUGUUAAUAUAAAAAUAGGACAAGCACAAUAAGUGAUGCCUGUCAGUUCACAUCAAGAAUGGUUAACUUAUUAACUUAGAAACUUUGUUUUUAAGAAGGAAACCAGAGCAGAGAGCCAGAUGAUAGCAGCUUGGGUUACCACAAAAGACAUGACAAAAAUGCUAUAAUUAUAUAAUUUAAAUAAUGUAUAUUAAAAGAUGCAUUCUUGGAUAAUAUUUGUGAAUAAAUCUGCUGAGAUCUAUGCAUGUGGGGAAACUGAUUGUCAUUGCAAGUAUAGUAAGUGGUUUAGAUUCACAACCAUUUUAAAUUGCUUAUCAAAAGUGAUGCUUCUUUUUGGAGAGAUAAUUAAAAAUUGUCAGUGUUCUGACAGUCUCCUACUA